UCUCCUCUUUUUUCGCUUUUUAGGGGGUUGAUUAUCGUGAUAUCAUUCCCCAACUACUGGUUCUUAUGCAACUUGCAUAUAAUUGCAUAUAAUGCUCAACUUCCAUUGGCAGAGAAAUAUUGAGAAUCAACUAAUGUUUACGAUUUACGGUGAGAUUAUGGAGAUCGUGCUGCUACUUUUGCAUGGGUUCCAACCGCAGCUGGAUUUCCCCUGCUAUUACAUCAAUAACCAGGACAGUACACUUUCAAUUGUCUCAGUCAGAUUCUGAGAGAAUAUCUAGUUUAGCUAUGUACUUGUAAUUAUCACAUUCACAUGAGACUUCAUUCUUCAAUAGUAAUUGAAUUUUUCAAGUAGGAUUAACAGCCAGUUGAAGUCUUAGCUUCUAUUGUUUAGUUUUAAAAUUGUUGGAUUUCAUCAAUGACAGUUCUUUCUUUCUACCAUGUAUUUAGUUAUGGAUUCUGUAAAGGGAAAUGGGUGUACACAAGAUAGGUUGAUACAGAAAGAAUAUUUUGAUCAGUGGAGAGUAAAUAGGGCUAAUGAAUUUGUAUUUAAAUCUUGUAUGAGUCAUCUAGUUAUAUGUACAUCUUGUUUCAACAAUUCUAUGAGAUAAAGAUUUCAGAAUAUUUGGGUUAACUAUUGAAAACAACAUAAAGUGCAUUAAUUAUUUGUCUUUUUCAGGCAGCAUUUCCAUUGAUUCUUAGGAUUAAUUCAUUUAAUUUUGGUUAUAGGUUUAUUGUUUAUGUUCCCGUAGUUGUAGCCUAUGCUGAGUGAAAGAUCUUUUUGCAUCAAGUUAAACUGGCUUUUCCUUGGUGCUGGUGUCAUGCUACCGAAGUGGUGUGAUACUUAACUAUGCCUGUGCUGUUCAAUGUGCAGUGGUUUUGCAGCUUGUUUCCAGUUGAGAGAUGGAGCUGAUACAGGAUUGAAGAAAAAUAACUGAAGUAGCUGUGCUGGUGUUCUCCUUAAAUUGCUGUGCCACAGGAGUUGCAGAUAGUGUUUGGUUCCUCAUAUAAGUUUAUUUAAAGAGUCUGGAGAUGAUCAGUCACUUCUGCCUAUAACUUGUGUAAAACUUCAAAGUUUUAAGAAAUAUACAAGUGAAGUGCUAAA